UACGAAGGGGGCUAGCGUUGUUCGGAAUUACUGGGCGUAAAGCGCACGUAGGCGGAUACUUAAGUUAGGGGUGAAAUCCCGGGGCUCAACCCCGGAACUGCCUUUAAUACUGGGUAUCUCGAGUUCGAGAGAGGUGAGUGGAAUUGCGAGUGUAGAGGUGAAAUUCGUAGAUAUUCGGAGGAACACCAGUGGCGAAGGCGGCUCACUGGCUCGAUACUGACGCUGAAGCACGAAAGCGUGGGGAGCAAACAGG
rnacentral:rRNA from 1 species